AUGCCGCACAUGUUCUGCAAGACGCUCACCGCCUCCAAUACCAGCACCCACGGUGGCUUCUCUGAGGGACAAGAUGGACGUGCUCCCUCCUCUCGAUUCUUCCUUGUGCUACUCAGGGGCGCUCAAUCCGACUCUGCGGACGUAGAGAUUGGGGCAUAUCAAAUUCUGUUUGUGUUUGUUGUGGUGGGAGGUGGUGAUAAGGUGAACAACAUAUGCUUGAAGAAGAAGGCUAUUCACAAGAAGAUGGCAGGAGAAGCAGGCCGAUUCGAUUCGAUCCUCAAGGCUGCUGCUGCUAUGACGGAAGAUCAGAAGAGGCAUGGAGAUGCGCACCACAGUUUUAGUUGA
rnacentral:rRNA from 1 species